rfam:Gossypium arboreum cultivar AKA8401 contig_1912_1, whole genome shotgun sequence.
AAUAGUUUUAUGCCACAUCAGUACUCUUAUCCUGAAUUUCAGGAUUUUAUCCUGAAAAAAUCAAAUCCAAAUUAAAAUACUGAAAUUCAGGAUAAAAUCCUGAAAUUCAGGAUAAGAGUACUGAUGUGGCAUAAAUCUAUU